ACACGCAUGACACACUGCAUAUCAAUAAGCGGAGGAAAAGAAACUAACAAGGAUUCCCUUAGUAACGGCGAGUGAAGCGGGAAGAGCUCAAAUUUGAAAUCUUCAAGGUUCUACCUUGACGAAUUGUAGUUUAUAGAAGUGUUUUCUGUUAGUGGAGUGGCAAAAGUUCUUUGGAAUAGGACAUCAUAGAGGGUGAGAACCCCGUACUUGGUCAUUCCUUCUAGCUUUGUGAUACACUUUCAAAGAGUCGGAUUGUUUGGGAAUGCAGUCCAAAAUGGGUGGUAAAUUUCAUCUAAAGCUAAAUAUUGGCGAGAGACCGAUAGCGAACAAGUACCGUGAGGGAAAGAUGAAAAGAACUUUGAAAAGAGAGUUAAACAGUACGUGAAAUUGUCAAAAGGGAAGCGUUUGACACCAGUGUUGUUUUUCCGAAAAUCAAUUACGAAUGUUUUAUUUUUGAGAAGUUAUGACUUCAUCGGCUUGCUUCUUUCUUUACGAAACUUUCUUAAUGCACUUUUCGGUUAACAAGUCAACAUCAAUUUCUUUUGUUGUAAAAGGGUAUGAGGAAGGUGGCUUUCUUUUCGGAGAAAGUGUUUAUAGCCUUGUGCCUCUGCAAUCGGAGAGAUUGAGGUCUGCAGCGUAGAUCCUUCGGGGUUAGAUACGUUUGUGCUAAGUUAUAGCUUUUCAUAGACAACUUGUUGACUUAUGUUAGUCUUGUAGGCUUACUCGCUUAUGCUAUUUUACCUACGCUUAGGAUGUUGAGUAGCGACAUACGCAC
rnacentral:rRNA from 1 species